UGGUAGUGGUAUCUUGAUUGGUGCUGAGCCUUGUUGACAGACGCUGUUGGGACCUGGUCAACGGUCCUCUUCUCCCGCAUUUCUGAGCCUUCAAUGUCAUUGAUAUGCCGUUAAGUUGAAGCUUGCAUAUCUAUCUUCCCUUGGUUUAUUUUAAGCUAUCGUGCCGCCUUGGCCUGCUUUAGUUCUAUUCGGCUCGGGAAGAUCUGGCACAGCCGUCUCGUUCACGCUCCCGUUAUAGUCGCUUUCUGUUACGAUGUUUCAAAUCGCCGGCAAAUUAUUCCGCAUCCGCUUUGUGUUCCAAGGGAAAAAAGGAUUGCCUCUUUUAUUUUCGUGAUUGCCGUGUUCGACAGAAUUAAAGGAUUGUGCACUUCGUGAGCUUAGGCUGAGUCUUGAACCGGUUUUGUGUGGACAGCGC
rnacentral:sRNA from 2 species